rnacentral:rRNA from 1 species
AUGGUGUUGAUGCCGGGUGCGCGCGUCACUUUCUGCAGCGCCGUUGGAGGCCGUUGGCUAAUGUUCCCCUCCCUAGCGACCCCCGACGAAGAGACCGUGGACGACGCCGGCGUGCUGUACGCCCCCUACUCCGACGGCUUCGACGAGGGGUUUAGGCCCGAGGUGCACGGCAUGGACACCUACAAGGAGCACGCGCGCGCCGUGGGGCGCGAGAAGCUCUCCGCCGUCGUCGCCAGCCUCGCCGCGCGGGGCCGUCCCAUGACGCGCAUGGUCUAUGCCUUCCUUGCGGGGUGGGCACCCCACGUCGCGCGCGCGCACGGGGUCCCCACGGCGCUCUACUGGAUCCAGCCGGUUGCCGUGUUCGCUGUGUACUACCACUACUUCCACGGCCACGAAGCUCUCAUCGCCUCAUGCACCAACGACGCUCCCAACGCCGCCGUCGAGCUGCCAGGACUACCGCCUCUCAGGUCCAGCGCACUCCCGUCGGUCGUGUCUAUCACCUCGCCGGAGCACCCGCACUACCUGCUGCUGGACAUGAUGUGCGAUCUCUUCUUGGUGCUCGACGAGUACAAGCCCAAGGUGCUCGUCAACACUUUCGAUGCGCUGGAGCCCAGCACGCUCCACGCAGUCGCGCAGUUCGAGGUCGUCGCUGUCGGGCCGGUGGUGCCGGACGAGGCAUCUCUAUCGAGCACGGACCUAUUCCGGCGCGACGACGGGAAGGGGUACAUGGAGUGGCUGGACACGAAGCCAGCACGGUCCAUGGUAUACGUCUCGUUUGGGAGCUUCCUUUCGAUGAGCAAGCGACAGGAGGAGGAGGCGAGGCGCGGCCUGGAGGCGACCGGCCGGUCGUACCUGUGGGUGGCGUGCAAGGGUGCCGACGGCGGCGACGACGAUGUAGUGCGCGCGCAAGGGGUGGUGGUUGAGUGGUGCGACCAGGUGAAGGUGCUAUCGCACCCGGCGAUGCGCUGCUUCGUGACGCACUGCGGGUGGAACUUGACGCUGGAGGGCGUCACGAGCGGCGUGUCGAUGGUGGUCGUGCCGCAGUGGAUGGACCAGCCGACGGUGGUGUGGCUGGUGGAGGCGCGCAUGGGCGUCGGCGUGCGCACCCGGGUGGACGGCGAGGGCGCGGUGGACCGAGACGAGCUGCAGCGGUGCGUGGAGACGAUCAUGGGCGACGGGAAGGCCGCAUUGGGGAUCCAGGCUCAGGCGGACCUCUGGAGGGGGCGGGACGUCGGAGAGGAACUUAUGGGCACUACUAGGAAAAGGGCUAUAGAUACGAUUGACACUAAUGGCGCACCAGGGAAGUAG